UGCAAGUCGAGCGGUAGCACAGAGAGCUUGCUCUCGGGUGACGAGCGGCGGACGGGUGAGUAAUGUCUGGGAAACUGCCUGAUGGAGGGGGAUAACUACUGGAGACGGUAGCUAAUACCGCAUAACGUCGCAAGACCAAAGUGGGGGACCUUCGGGCCUCAUGCCAUCAGAUGUGCCCAGAUGGGAUUAGCUAGUAGGUGGGGUAAUGGCUCACCUAGGCGACGAUCCCUAGCUGGUCUGAGAGGAUGACCAGCCACACUGGAACUGAGACACGGUCCAGACUCCUACGGGAGGCAGCAGUGGGGAAUAUUGCACAAUGGGCGCAAGCCUGAUGCAGCCAUGCCGCGUGUAUGAAGAAGGCCUUCGGGUUGUAAAGUACUUUCAGCGAGGAGGAAGGCAUUAAGGUUAAUAACCUUAGUGAUUGACGUUACUCGCAGAAGAAGCACCGGCUAACUCCGUGCCAGCAGCCGCGGUAAUACGGAGGGUGCAAGCGUUAAUCGGAAUUACUGGGCGUAAAGCGUGCGCAGGCGGUUUUGUAAGACUGUCGUGAAAUCCCCGGGCUCAACCUGGGAAUGGCGAUGGUGACUGCAAGGCUAGAGUUUGGCAGAGGGGGGUAGAAUUCCACGUGUAGCAGUGAAAUGCGUAGAUAUGUGGAGGAACACCGAUGGCGAAGGCAGCCCCCUGGGUCAAAACUGACGCUCAGGUGCGAAAGCGUGGGGAGCAAACAGGAUUAGAUACCCUGGUAGUCCACGCUGUAAACGAUGYCGACUUGGAGGUUGUUCCCUUGAGGAGUGGCUUCCGGAGCUAACGCGUUAAGUCGA
rnacentral:rRNA from 1 species